CACCUCUUGAUUAAUUAUAAGAGGCCCAGCCUGCCCAGUGAUUAUUUCAACGGCCGCGGUACCCUAACCACGCAAAGGUAGCACAAUCACUUGUUCUCUAAAUAAGGACCUGUAUGAACGGCACCACGAAGACUAUACUGUCUCCUUUCUCCAAUCAGUGAAACUGAUCUCCCCGUGAAGAAGCGGGGAUUACCUUAUAAGACGAGAAGACCCUAUGAAGCUUAAAAUUUAUAUCAACUGCCACCCACCCAACAUCACCACAACCUGACAGACCUGAUUACCAAUUUUAGGUUGGGGUGACCGCGGAGCAAAAUAAAGCCUCCACAAUGAAAGGACCUAACCCCUAAUUCAAGAACAACACCUCUAAAAAUCAAAAUAUUGACAUAAAUUGAUCCAAAUUCUUGAUCAAUGAACCAAGUUACUCUAGGGAUAACAGCGCAAUCUAUUUCAAGAGCCCCUAUCGACAAAUGGGUUUACGACCUCGAUGUUGGAUCAGGGUAUCCUAGUGGUGCAGCCACUACUAAAGGUUUGUUUGUUCAACAAUUAAAACCCU
rnacentral:rRNA from 1 species